rnacentral:misc_RNA from 1 species
GAUGAAGAACGCAGUGAAAUGCGAUACGUAAUGUGAAUUGCAGAAUUCAGUGUAUCAUCGAGUCUUUGAACGCACAUUGCGCCCCCUGGUAUUCCGGGGGGCAUGCCUGUCCGAGCGUCAUUGCUGCCCUCAAGCACGGCUUGUGUGUUGGGCCUCCGUCCUCCUCCCGGGGGACGGGCCCGAAAGGCAGCGGCGGCACCGCGUCCGGUCCUCGAGCGUAUGGGGCUUCGUCACCCGCUCUUGUAGGCCCGGCCGGCGCUUGCCGACACAUCAAUCUUUUUUCCAGGUUGACCUCGGAUCAGGUAGGGAUACCCGCUGAACUUAAGCAUAUCAAUAAGCGGAGGA